ACCCGCUGAAUUUAAGCAUAUCAAUAAGCGGAGGAAAAGAAACCAACAGGGAUUGCCUCAGUAACGGCGAGUGAAGCGGCAACAGCUCAAAUUUGAAAUCUGGCCUCACGGUCCGAGUUGUAAUUUGUAGAGGAUGCUUUUGGCGAGGUGCUUUCCGAGUUCCCUGGAACGGGACGCCAUAGAGGGUGAGAGCCCCGUACGGUAAGACCACCGAGCCUCUGUAAAGCUCCUUCGACGAGUCGAGUAGUUUGGGAAUGCUGCUCUAAAUGGGAGGUGUACGUCUUCUAAAGCUAAAUACCGGCCAGAGACCGAUAGCGCACAAGUAGAGUGAUCGAAAGAUGAAAAGCACUUUGAAAAGAGGGUCAAAAAGUACGUGAAAUUGUUGAAAGGGAAGCAUUCAUGACCAGACUUGGGCUUGGUUGAACAUCCGGCGUUCUCGCCGGUGCACUCUGCUAGUCCAGGCCAGCAUCAGUUUGCCCCGGGGGACGAAGGCGGUGGGAAUGUGGCUCUCUUCGGGGAGUGUUAUAGCCCGCCGUGUAAUGCCCUGGGGCGGACUGAGGAACGCGCUUCGGCACGGAUGCUGGCGUAAUGGUCAUCAAUGACCCGUCUUGAAACACGGACCAAGG
rnacentral:rRNA from 1 species